AGCAACUCCUGAUUGUCUCCUGUAUAUUGAGUCCACAGAGAAUAUGAGCCUCUAUCUUCAGUAACGUAUUUCAAAUGCUUCAGUUCGCUGUACCCGAUCUUAUUCACGUGGAGGAGUGAAGAUACCACGCAACAUCUGAGAUGUCUUCUCUGUUGAUUUCUCAGAAGUACAUUGUAUGGAGCACACCUUUUGCACACCUUUUUCCAGAUGAUGCAGAGAUGCUGUUUGAUUGCUCCCGGUACAGAGCUGGUAACUGCAUCUUCCAGAGAAAUAAAAGUCCAAGCAAUUAAUGAAGUAUGCAUGGAGACAGUGGUAAAAGACCAAAUGUAGUACCUUAGAUGUUCCCUUCUUCUCUGCUGGAACAAGGAGGGAUACUCUUGGGAGGUACUGACUGCAUCAGUGUGGACCAGCUCUUGGCCAUCUCAACAUUUUGGUAGAUGUCUCACGAGCUUGGGAAGACCACUCAGUGCUGGGGUUUGGCAGCACAGACGGGACUCGCUGAGUUCAUCUGAAAACCUCUCCCAGAUGCAUCCCAGAUGCAUGGUCUCAAAACCAUGCUCCCCUUCUGCAGCGGACACGACGAGGGUGAAGGUGGGUGCCGUGCUAACACAGCAGGUUGUUUGCCAGGAUGUAAUGUGCUGCUGUUCUCCUGUGUUGCUAUUCCCCUGGCAAUGACAGCAAUUGUUUGACACAUCAUGCUGCCUGACGCAUGCCUGAGCUGCACAGUGCUGGCAUGAGCUGGCGUUACACCUGCCGAGUAAUUGCGCUCUCGCUAGCUUCAAGAUCGGGCACGUGAGCCUCAGCCAUUCUGAGAACAGCUUCAGCCGAGCGCAAAAUCAAGCUAAAGAGAGAAACCCAGCAGGCAGCGAGGUGCUGAGUCACCACGCAGCCCUCCUCGGAUAGCCUUGCAGCAGCGCAGAGGAUCAAAGGUGAGGUGACCUUGUGCAUGGGAGGUGAGGCGAAGUCCUCUGUGCGGGCUGGAAUGUACAUUAGCUCAGGAAUGCAGACAGGCAAACAGGGCUGAGCGAGCGCCUUUAUUAGCUGCUCUAGGCACGGCUUUGAGAUCGUCCGCGUCUAAGAGGAAAAAGCUCUGCGUUUGUCCAAAACUCUGAGAAUCAAAUGCUCACAACAUAUUCUUCGACCUGUUCUUCUGACCGGGACUGCGAUUAGGCUGGGUGAUCUUUGGUUUUGUUCUGCUCUGGUUUGAAGCUAGCUGGGUCAUUCUGGGAAGCCUGGAAACGUCUCUUUAAUUUGCUAAAUAGGAAACUUGCAUCCAGCCUGUAAUUUCACAAUUCUCAUUAUAAUCUGCAAAGGAGGAUUACAACAGGCUGUGUUUUAAAGAUUACUAUUUCCCAUCCCAGCUCCAGCCCACUCUCUUUAUUUCAGUGGUCAAAAUAUCAAGGUCGUUAUUUCUGGGUAUAUUCUGCACUUGCUGAUUUCUGUACCGACUCCUGGCCUAGGUAAUUAAACUAAGCUACCUUUUGACUACUUUUAGAGGGAUUGUCUGGCCAGACUGGUUUCACUGGCUUGUCAUAUGGACCCAAAGCAACAAAGAGGCCAGUGCUGUUUGCCAGAUCCCCUCCGUGGCUCUGAGAGGUGUGUUACAGAGAACACAAAGGUGUUGGUGAAGAUGAAAGCAGAACCCUGUUGUUUUCUGUUUAGAUGCCUUGCUGUGUGCUGGGAUCACAGGUGCUACUACAGAUGGUACAGACGGGUAAAUUUCAUCCCUAGUAACUUUACACAUCUGCAAUGUGAACUUUUACUUCUGAGUAGUCAUCCUGGACCCCCUUUACAUUUCAAAAAUUUACCUCUCCCUAAAGUAGACAUUGGCAACAUGUGCCCUGUUGGGUUUUGCCCUAAAAGACCCCAUUUGUCUUCAUGAACAUCAAUAGAGGUCAGCAAAUAACCUCACAGACAGACAUCUACACCUGAGGUAUUCAGAUUUAGUUAGUGAGCCUCAGAUUUCCAGUCGAGUUUUCUCUGGAUCUCAGGGUUAUGAAAUCAAACCUCUGCUCAGUCUAUUUUUACAUCAGCCAGACAUCUCUGGAGAUGGAAUUGCCCUCCUCCCCAGAUAUGAUUUGAAUUUGUUUGCUAAAGCAUCUGCACAUAUGGCCCUUCACAGAAAUCAUGCUUUUAUGAGCUUCUUGCCUUGGGGCAUACCUCCCUUUUGAACCAUCCUCUGUGUGAAGUGUUGUGUGGCAAGGCAAACUGAAUGGGAUGGCUGUGUUUCUUUCCAUUACUAUUUGGGAAGCCACCAGUGACCAGAACAGCCAUGAGAAGAAAGCCACAAGGGCAGAAGGCCCAGACUGGCUCCCGAUGGACAAAGCCCAUCACGAACCAGCCUACGUGCAGAACUGGGGGGCUGUGCCUGGAUCAUGCCUUACCGUGCGCCAUGGGAUCCUCGGGAUGAAAGAAGCUACAUAAACAUAAAAUAUCUCUAUUGAUUAUAAAUGACAGCAAAAGGGAAACAUGUGAUUUAAAGCAGUGCCAGCUGUGGUCUAAUAUCAGAUAAACCACACUGAUGCUGUUGUCAAAUCGUUAUCCACUCUACACCACUCAAUCUGGGGGUAAGGAUAAUUUUUUCUAUCGACCCUACAAAGGUCUGCAUGCUCCCGUGUGCCUUUCCUGCAGAGAUAUGGACAUGGACACUGCUGACAAGUUGCAUUCCUCUUAUCGGGGGCGGUUAUGUCAUUGGGCUGGUGUAAAUCUCCCUCUUCCUCGCUCGCUCCUGUCACAAAGAAGGAGGGCAGUUUGGCACGGCGCUGCCCCCCGGCGCAAGAGGUGUGACUUGUCAGCAAAAAAGUCAUGGAAGCGAUUCUACCGAGGGUGACAAAAGGUUGAAAGCUAACGCAGGGACCUCCCAAGAAAGCACCAGGCAAUCUGCACAGCGAUUCCUCCUCUCAACCCGUGUUUUAUGUAAGGGGACGGGAGGCUGACUCACUGUGCUGGGGACCUCCCGAAAAGCUGGGCAGGACGGGCAUCCUACAGGCUGCUGUUACGCCAUCCAUCUUUGGAAAUGUGGUCCCAUCAGUUUGUAAAUUGUGUGUUUCCAUAUCUCAUCUCACGUGGCUUUGGAGGAAUGCACCAAGCAUCGAGUGCUGCUUCAGGUGCGCCGUAGUAUCAGAGACGUCGGCUUGAGGCUGGUAGGUGGGAGAUGGGACCUGUGCAAGACCUGGGUCCUUCCUGAGUGGCAGCUAGAGGCCAGGUGAGAUAGACCAGGGCAUCUUCAGGGGCAUUAGGUGUAUAUUUGGGCAUCUGCAUUCCUUCCUACAGGUCUGCAUCUUCAGUGUCUCCAUCUGAGCUGGUCACCCCGGGCUGUUUUUGUACAUGGUGUAGAGACGUAAGUAUUUUCAAGGUGUGGUUUAGCCAGACUGUUUUAGACACCUCUUUUAGGAGAAGGUGAGUUGUUCCCUAGACACCACCGACUGUCACAAUUAGAUUUCUGUGACUACAAAGGGAGCGUAGAGCUGCUAACUCAAAUGCAGGCAUUUGCAUCCAGUCGGCUGAAUCUCAGCCCGGGUCUGGUCUGUCUCAUGUUGACAUCAGUUUCAUACCAAGAAAAAAAAAGCAAUCCACGGAUCUGGUUGUGCUUGUAAUUACAGCAGUGUCAGUGAGAUUAGACUCAGAACCACCACUUGGCAGUUUUGUCCCCCAGCGUAAGCUCUGACAGAUAGUCAUUACGGUAACGUUUUCAUGGCUCCUUUCGUAAAAACAAGAGUUUCAGUUGAGAAUUAUUUGUUUGGAUCCGAGCCAAUUGCAAACUGUUUCUAUUUUAACGGGGUGUCCCAAGACGCUUUCAGUUACAAUGAGGUGAGCAAGAGAUGUUUUGGUUUGCUGGCGAUUCUGGAAGAUAAUUGCAGACAUCUAUAUUGUUCCUAUUUUUCUAUAUUGUAAAAAGUUUCACUCAACACCAGAGAAAACACGUCAGGUCAUUUUUUAAGCAUUUUUCAAGUUAAAAAGAAAAAGAACCGAGUGAAAGGAAAUAUCUGAACAGAAAGACAUUUCAUAGUGAAAUCCUUCUCAAGCAACUUUUUUUUUGGUUUCAAUUCUAAAUGAAUUUAUGUGGCAAAACUGACAGAAAUUUGCAGUGUUUCUGCUUUUUUCACCAGAAAGAGCAUUUAGCCCCAAAAAUACACCCACGCUGUUUCAGCUGCAGCGUUCACAGAACCGCAAGGCUCUGGGCCCUUGCUGGCAGGAUGGGAGGGACCGGGAGCAGCCCCUGCAGGUUGGUGACAGAAGGUUAGCAAAGGGCUCUUGGAAACCUUCCCUCUGCGACACUUCCACAAGGUAAAUGUUCCCGUUAUUAUUUGCAAGCCGGCCGUAUAUCACAGCAAGUACCAGGUACAAUAAGACCCAGACAGCAAGACUGAGAAUAAAUAGAUGAUGGAAUUCCUGGCAUUAGUUCUGGAGCAGUUUGGGACUGGAACGAGUGAAAAAUACAAUUUCUCUAAAAGGGAAGUUUCCUGUGAGUAAAAGCCAAAUGUUCCCCUCUGCUCCCCCUCCUUCUUUCCCCAGAUUCCAGUUUUUCACUGGGGAGAAUCCAAGUGUUUCAAGUGAGUUCAAGCAGAAUUUCAUUUUGUUGAACUGGCCUGAUUUGGGAUGCAAACCGACCUCUGAAAUGCUGAAAUUUCCCGUGGGAGCAGAAAUUCUGAAUUUUGCUCAGCUCUAGUUACUCCUUGCAUGGAAAUGGCCUAAAGCAAACAAACAACCACUCUCCUCGUGCGGGUAGGAGAAGCGCCUGGUAAGUAGGUUAAUUUGGAAGGGGUUCCCUGGUGGCAGCUCCUCUUCCUCUCUUCUGCCUGGGGAAACCUGUGCAGGGAUCAGCUCUGCAGAGCGGGCAGUGACAAGCUCCCCUUCCGGGCAGAAAUAAACACACACAUAUAUAAACUCAAAGAUCCAUUCCUACAGGAGUUGUUUACACCCCAGGGCAGGCUGAUGUGGCCUGAAAGUGCUCCACUGACCUCAAUGGAUUGCCCUGGCAAAAGGAUCACCGCGUUCCCCAUGUGAAAACAUGCGAUUUCCCAGCAAAACUAAGACCCUCAAGAAUUUUGUGGUAGGCUUCGCAAAGCAGCUGAUGGCCCAGAUGGGACUUCAUAGCUGCGGCUGGAUCCUGAAAGGCUGCCAGCUGGCGAGGCAGCCCCGUGGGUGAGGUAUCCGCACGUUACCGGUGAGGAUCGGCGAAUGUGCCAGAGCUGGGGCCCCAGGGGGAUGCGAGCAGCCCUGGUGGAGGCAGCUGGGUCCUUCUCCUUGACUCUGUCUCUCUGACAGCUCAGGAACACGGCUGCAGGAUGACAGCAGCCUCCAGACCUGGUGAAAACCUGGAGCAGCUCAGGGGAGAGCCAGACCCCGAGGUGCGGAGCGCGGCUGCUUCUCCUACCCGUGGCUUGCUGUCCAUACAUACAGGGCACAGGGUGAGGAACCGUGUGGUUCUGCCUCCGUGCAGCCAACAACAAAGAUGGAUGCGCCCUCUAAGCACCGCAGGCUCCGUCCCAAAGUAUUCCUGGCUUUCCAUGCUGAGCUUCAGCCUCCCACCGGCUACUGUAUGGCCGCAGCCCUUUCCCUCUCAUCUGAGCAAAGCGCCCUGCGAACAAUUAAGUCUCACUAUCCCCUAGCGAGCUGGGGAAGAAUUAUCUCCUCAUUUUUACCUGUCUGGGAAAUGACACAGAAAUUAAUUGACUUCUUCAAGGUCACUCAAAGAGUCAGGGGGAGAUGUGAAAAUGGGACCCAGGAGUCCUGACUGCUGGUCUUUUCUAACCACCAGAUACCUAACAUCAAUUGCUGGAAAACCCGCUCAUAGGCUUUGCAGUUUUGAUUAAAGAUUCAAAAAAUACUGGAGCUUUAAAGGAAAAAAAUAGUUCUCUCCAACUUUACCCGGCGAUGCAUGACCAGGCACAGCCCCCCUGGGAAUACAAGCUCCGCUGAAGACGAGCUGACCGGCUGUCUGCUCCAAAUACACGAGGGGUCCUAGGCUUGACGCCAAGUGACAUGGGCAGCAAGCUUGGCUCCUGCUGCUCCGGGCACCCAGGUGUCUGGCAGGGCUUUGCGCAUCCGUGGGUCACCAGAAGACGAGGCUCUGAGUGGAAAAGCAGCAAGCUGUGAGUUUAUGCCUGCAUUAGUGUUGGAAAGCAUGUUAAUUUAGCUGUUAAACAUAAGCAACCUGGGCUUUGGGGUGACACGUGGAGUAUAGCGGAUGCAUCUGCUGCUCUGCGUGCGCAAGCAGAGCAGUGAGUUGGCUCCUUUCCCCAAACCAUCCUGUGCAGGGCACAAAGCACCUCCUGCUGGGUUCCUCACCCCCUGCCCUGGGCUCCAGCCCUAGGCACAGCUCCGUGACCCACUUCUGCUGCCAUCGCGUUUCUUCUCCCACCAGCAUGUGGGAACACCCUCCCAGCAUAGCUGCUGCUCCCUCCCGGGCACUGCCCAGCCACGCAAGUGCCCCACACAAGGGCGGUGAGAGGACCACGACCUGCCCCUUAAUUUGCUCUUACCUCUCUGGGUUCACCACUCACAAAUGCGCCAUCUCCUCCAGCAAGACCUGGCCCAGCCAUGGGGCUCCAGGAGCCUGACUCACUGUUACCCUCUAGUGCUGGACCAGGCGGGCUACAGGCUUUUCCCCAGCAAAAGCAGGCACCAGCAGGUUAUUCUCUUUGCUCCAGGCCACCCCAAAUUCAAUCCUGGCCACAGCAACUCAUCUUAGCUGAAUUUCAGCCCCACGAUGGCUUGCCUUCCUCUGCCUCUUGCACCAUCGCUGGGCAGAUUUGUCACCUGUAGGGUGGUAGGAGGGACAAGAGUUUUGGUUCAUUUG